rnacentral:lncRNA from 1 species
CUUACACAUUGACUGGCCUUCAAAAGAAGCAUACUGGAAAUGGAAUCUGUCAUUUGCCUGAAGUAAAUAGAGUGGCUAGACCCCCAUUAGAGGGGGCUUCACACUCAUGAAGAAUAGAUUGUGUGAACCUUUGGGAAAGAUGCACUCCAAGGGUUGUGUGUGACUUGGAAAUGGAGCUUAAAUGAUGCCUGUAUCCAACUGGUACAAAUCACAUUAUGCCUGGAUUUCCUCUCAACAUCUUCACAGAGGGAAAGAAACUGAAGAACAGGGUAUAUUAGUGCCUGACCAAAGAGUGAAUGAUUGGGUGGAGCACCCUGCCUGAGGAGAUGGAAACCUGGAACAAAGACGUGUUUUUGAAAUGUCUGUGGCUCUGCUUUGCCUCAUCUCUCCUGCUGGAUCUGAAGUGUAUUUUGGAUGGUGAGGUUGGAGGAAAGUUUAUACUCCUUGGGCAGGGCUGCUGCUAUGUCAUACCAGCUAUCCAAGCUCCUCAGGAAGAUAAGAAGUUAAUGGAACCCAAAGAUUCAGAGUUGCCUUUCUCCAGAAGCAAAGCUGUCAGGAUUUUGUACAGGAAUGAAUCCCAAAUUUCAGAGUAUAAUUCCACCCUGGGGCUGCAGAUGAGAGCUAGG